UUAACAGUAGUGGGCGUAUCAUAUUUUUCCCCCAUGUCUUUAAACACAUGUCACAAAGUCAGUAAACAGAGAGAGAAAAAUCAUGAAGAUUUGGUGCACGGUAAUCUGAUUAGAUAGAAGUGGUGGCUGAAAGGAAGGAUCGAUAAGCUGGCGAGAUAAUCGGCGAAAGAAUCACAGCGACUUAACCUAUAACGUUUAGUGGCUCAGUAAAAGAUGCGAACUCCUCGUUGGGAGCUCGAGAAGCCUUCUACUAAAUCUUAGUUCAAUAAACACUCUAUAGAGCGUGUUACUGGAAUUACCCGGCGUUAGUCGGCUCGCAGAUUAGUCGAGAGCUUAACGAUCCCCCUGAGGUCCGAUGGAAAUCGACCGUACGACUUGUUAUUCAGGGAAUAAGAUGAUCGCGCGUCAUUAAUUAAUUUCCAGAAGCCAAAGCAUUUAACUCUUACUAUUUUUUGCGUUAAUCUUCUCUCUGUUAUCGUCUGAAAACUUCGAUUAAUAUAGGGCUAAUACAGAAGCAACGACUACAUCGUAAAACAAAAAAAGUAAUGUUCAUAGCGUUUUUAUUGUGAAUUUUUACCAAAGGAUGAAACGUUCGAAUAAAUACCGUGUAUAAUGUGGUCUCGCCAUCGUACAUAUAUCGUGAUUGAAAACUUAUUCGUUAUAGAUGACGCAAAGUCUAAUUUUAGUUCAAUCUUUCUUAACCGUUUCUAUGAAUUUUUCGAACGACCUAAUGCAACAUGUUGAUCGAAUAAAGUCAAAUGCCAAAUCGAUAGAGGUUAACGAAAGACACAGGGCCAAAUAAAGGGUAAAUUCGGGGCGUGUCAAUCGGAUAAAAAUGACGGGUGCCGGUGUAAGUGGUUAGUUUCUGUGCAGAAUGCGCAUAGAGAAUUUUGAAACAUCAUAAAAAUCGAUCGGGCCACCUCCUCCUCGGUUAAACCGGCUGUUCACAGAUUGCCGGUCCGCACUGACACGCCGAGAACGCAGCAACUGCGUUGCCCGUGUGCUCGCACUCUGGCGGCAGUGAAGAAAAAAACAGACGAAUAAAGGCCGAACAAAGAGGGAGGAAGAGAAUCUAUAAGCGAAGAGUGGAUGUGAGUCCGAGCGGGAGCGAGAAAGGUGACGAGAGAGAUGGCAGAGUCAGUGUGGCGGAGGGACAAACUGAAUCGAUGAAUAAGCUAGAACGAACGAGACAGAGAAACAGAGGGAGAGGAAUGUCUGACGAUGGAGCGAGCGAGAGAACGGAGUAAAUAUAAUAUAACCGGGGGAAGGAAAGAGAAGGAAACAAAGUGAACGAGAGGAGUGUGUAAGCUCAUCACUCAGUGGAAGAAAAAGGAGUGAGUUGCCGAUCGAGCGAGCGAAAUGAAAAGGGUGGAAAAGGGAUGCAUUACCUGAAGAGAAAGCGAGACAGCGAAUCAAGUGAAAGAAAAAGAGUGGACGCGUGCGAUGAAAAAGAGCAGAGGAGAGUAACAGAAAAUGAGACUUAAUGAGAGGAACAAAAGUGUGCGCGUUAAAGAGGAACGAAAUCAUAUGAGUUAACGAGUGAGACAAAAGGACACUUCUAGAAAAAGUAACGCGAGCAAGAGAGAAAAAGAGGGGAAAAAGGAACCACGUGACAAUCGUACAAGGAAGAACGGUAAACGAACCAGAACAAAAAACUUUCUUUCUCUGUUUUUCCCUUUAGAAGAGAGGGCCAGAGAAAAGAGGAGUGAGAAAAGCGAUGGUGAAGUUCGAGGAACGAAGUAGAGUAACAUUCAACCACACGUACUCGUCUUUCCCUUCUUCGUUCCUCGCACGUUCUCCCCUCUUCGUUCUCGCGACGAACCUCUACCUCUACGAAGCGAGAGAACCUACUGUAUUCGCGCUCUACGUCCGCCCGUGUAUUCGAGCUUCGCGUAUUCGUUGCAAACGGCACACCGUUAACGGUACAUCGCGUUCGUUACAAUUAUUACAAACAUUCGACUCGACUACGGUUCGCCUCCAGCGUAAUGGCUAACCCUGAUGGCACGAUACCGUGACGAGUUUCGAAUUCCUAUCUUACGUGUCAUCUAUGUACUUUGAUUCUUUGUUAGAUUUCGAUUUUCAUACUUUAAAAUAGUAGAGGUUAACUAUAACAUUGACGGUAUGAUCGUUAACGAUCUUCGCUGGUGGAUAACGUAGCUUCAGCCGCAUCUUCCUUUUCAUUUUUAAAGGAAGAAAGAUCUAAUUGUUUAUUCAUUGGGCUAACAAUACCGAGGAAAAAACGAUUGCCGCGGUUCCUCGACAUUCCUCUGAUUUUUUGCAAAUUAUUUGCCUCGAAGUGUCAUCGAUAUUCCGUAUUUCCGACGCAUCUUUCGAGCGGGAACGAUAUUCACCGGAGAAGGUGGCUUGCAGGAGAGCUGGUCGAUCGGCAGGAAUUAAAAUAUCGAGCGUCUCGAAUAGAGGAGCGCGUUCGGGCUUCGAGCGAGACGAGAGCAGAGAGACAGAGACGGAUAAACCAACAACAAGGAUAGAAGAGUCGAGUAGUCCUGGCUUACUCUGUCCUCCUCACUCUUUAGACUACGUCGAAUCCUCUUUUCGUCCCUCGCUUUUCUUCUCUACUCACCGGCCACCGAAAGAAAGACAGAACUUCUUUUUGUCCUGGGACUGAAUAAUCCUUGUCCAAACGAUUUUAGUCGAUGUCUUCGCGUAAUAUUAUUGAAUGCCAAUCGACAGAUGAUCCUUUCCUAUAACCUUCGUCCCUUCUGAUUUGACAGAUGUUACUCCAGAUUAGAAGUUACUAUUAUAAAAUUUGGGCUCAUUUCAUACGUGCAAAAUUACUGGAAUUAGUUACCUAAAGAUAUUAGAAAUUACUCUAACACUGAAAUAUACAUUAAAAGUUUGAUUUAAAUAUUACCUUGUACCACGGAUUACGAGUAAAAGAAUAAUGUGAAAGCAACCUGCAAUCCUUCGUUGGGAAGUCCGGAUCUCUUCGGAACAAUUUUGCACGUCCGUUACCAGUUGGAGGUCGUACUAGAGAUAUUCUCGUCCUCCAUGUUGAACCAAGACUCUUUAUUCAUGAAUUUUAUCAGCCGACCUAAUUCAUCUGAUAUAUUAAAUUUUCAAAAUCAUAAGAAAUACAUAAAGGAGCGAAAUCACGGAAGAAAAUAUGGGAUAAAGGCGAGAAGAAACGAAACGAAAAGAACGCAGGGGCAAAUACAGUUUCAUAUAAUACGUACAAUAUAAACAUUUUCAGAUUAGUUUCAAAUUUUAUCAGUAUAUUCAUAGCAGUCGUGUUUCUUUAUACAUAGUGUUAAUGAAAUUUUAAAACGUUCAUAUACACAUAAAAGUUUUCUAUUGUAAAUGGUCAAAAUACUUUGGCGAGCUGCUAUAUAUGUGUGUGUGGAAAAACACGAGUCAGGAUUCGUUCGUAGUGAAACGUUGCCGCGCUGGUGGGAGCGUUGUACUCUGGCUGUCUUGUAAUUGAACAGACACGAGCCACCGAACUUCCUGAGUCCGUUUCAGCCUGAGGGAGAGAAGGAUCCCUAUUUCUGGUCUCGGUUUCAGGCCCGAUUCUACAAGCUCGCCACACCGGCCCAGGAUUAGACGCUUGUUUGUCCCCGCUGUAGCAUCCUCGGGUUUUGGCUAACCAUUUCCUUAGCUGUCACUAUUUUUACUCAAUGUCACGCCCGUCAUUUUCGACUACUAAGCCCCCACACAACGGAUCUACGCUUCGUAUGGAAUACUUUUAAGAAAAUGUUCAUGUUUGGAGACAGAGUGGACUAAAUAUAGAAUCGAGGAAUUUUUCUGACGAAAGCCAAAUGUAAGAAACGUUCAUAUGUGUGACAUCGGUUGGAUUAUCGUCGAAGGUUGCUUUCAAGGCUAGGGACUGCUCGUACUAAUUUAUUCAGAGAUAUUCAUGUGAUGAUGCUUAGUUUUCGUGACCAGUUGAACUGGCUAAUUACAAUAUUUCCUCUCGUUAUACAAAAUGUUUUAUCAUUAUAAUAUAUAAGUAUUUAAAUGCUUUGUUAAAUUUUAUAAAUCUUGAACAAAAAUAUAAUAACAGUCGCUCAUAUCAGGGGAUUGAUAAAUUGUUAUUGAUAAGAAAUCAAAAAGUUGGGCAAUCGUCUAUUCAAAAUGUCGAAAAGUCUCUCCCAUUGGAUCGAUUCUAAAGCGCGGGAAGGAGAGAGAUAGAGAUAGUGGACUGAAAGUAAGUACAAGCUUUGACUGUGUCUCCGUGGGAUCGUGGCGGGAUUACCGAAGGGUUAAAGGGGUUAAGCAGCCAAGACCUUUCGAAUUCGAGGGGCCCGAUAGUACCCAGCCAUGGAUAGAUCUCUCCCUUUCUUUGCAACUGAACUCCGAAGACUUGGUGGGAAACAUUGAGAUUUAAUAUCUGGAGGAGGACGUGGCCAGUAGCAGAGAAAGGAAGUUUAUCGUAGAAAACGUCUCGAAAGUAGCUGAACACGCCAUUCGUCUUGUAACUAAGCGCAUCGUGUCGUGUAUACAUCAAACAAUUUCAGAUUCCUUGUCUUUCGCACUCGAUAAUCUUCAUUCUCAAAUCUAAAUCUAUAUUUUAUUGAACAUUCAAAGAAACCGAAGAUUAUAUAAUUAAUUAUAAUAAUGGGAUAUUUUUAAGUUUUUUAAAUUGAUAAUUUUAGAUAUUUUAAAUUGAUACUGUAGAUUAACCCAUAACUGGUAUUGCUGGUUCUAUGAAAUCCUAGGUAUUUUUACUUUUGCGGUAUUUCGUGAUUGCUAGCGAACAUUUUUGUCUACGUGAUAAAAUGGCCACCAUUCAGUUAAAAGUGACCCACGUUUGAAAUUUCAAAUGGCUGUAUUCCUUUGAGGAAUUUCCAAAGUAAGAUAAAACAUGUGAUAAUCUUGAAACAACAAAAUGCGCCUUUUGCCUCUGUUUCGGAAUUCGAAAGAGAAACACAGCUGGAAUCAGGAAUUUCCUUGAAGUUUGAUUUUCAUGUUUGGCCUCACCGACCUGGCUGCUAACCGACAAAAAUUGCAGCGUACUCACGAAGGACGGUCGAGGAAGUGGAGAAGGUAUAUAGUAAUGGCAGAGCAACGCUAACGGUGAAGAGAGAGAACGAACGAACGAGCAUACACGAUAGGAGAGGAUGGGAUGCAUUCACGGAUAGGAAAAGGGGGGCAGGGUCCAAGGAGGAAGGGAGGAAACCGCGCGAAGGGGAAAACGACUCAACUCGGAACUCGUGUCGUAGCGGUACUCGUUUUCUCCUCGGCACCGCGUAUCUCGUUGCCACGAAAUUGAAUAACCGCGAUAUACCGUGGCCAGCGCACAAAGUUACACUUGUUCAAGCUCGAAUUUCUCGACCUCGAAUUCAACGUGAUUGCAAAGGAACG